AACGAACGCUGGCGGCAUGCCUUACACAUGCAAGUCGAACGGGUGUAGCAAUACAUCAGUGGCAGACGGGUGAGUAACACGUGGGAACCUUCCUAGGGGUACGGAACAACUCAGGGAAACUUGAGCUAAUACCGUAUACGUCCGUGAGGAGAAAGAUUUAUCGCCCUUAGACGGGCCCGCGUCGGAUUAGGUAGUUGGUGGGGUAACGGCCUACCAAGCCUACGAUCCGUAGCUGAUCUUAGAGGAUGAUCAGCCACACUGGGACUGAGACACGGCCCAGACUCCUACGGGAGGCAGCAGUGGGGAAUCUUGGACAAUGGGCGCAAGCCUGAUCCAGCCAUGCCGCGUGAGUGAAGAAGGCCUUAGGGUUGUAAAGCUCUUUUACCAGGGACGAUAAUGACGGUACCUGGAGAAUAAGCCCCGGCAAACUUCGUGCCAGCCGCCGCGGUAAGAC
rnacentral:rRNA from 1 species